GGGCCCGCACAAGCGGUGGAGCAUGUGGUUUAAUUCGAUGCAACGCGAAGAACCUUACCUACUCUUGACAUCCAGAGAACUUAGCAGAGAUGCUUUGGUGCCUUCGGGAACUCUGAGACAGGUGCUGCAUGGCUGUCGUCAGCUCGUGUUGUGAAAUGUUGGGUUAAGUCCCGCAACGAGCGCAACCCUUAUCCUUGUUUGCCAGCACUUCGGGUGGGAACUCCAGGGAGACUGCCGGUGAUAAACCGGAGGAAGGUGGGGACGACGUCAAGUCAUCAUGGCCCUUACGAGUAGGGCUACACACGUGCUACAAUGGCGUAUACAGAGGGCUGCCAACUCGCGAGAGUGAGCGAAUCCCAGAAAGUACGUCGUAGUCCGGAUUGGAGUCUGCAACUCGACUCCAUGAAGUCGGAAUCGCUAGUAAUCGUGAAUC
rnacentral:rRNA from 1 species